AGAAAAUCUCAAUUAAACAGAACUUGCAAUAAAGAAAGCCUAAAUAGGGCUCUCUUUACAGGAAGUGUUUAUGGAAGGCUGUGUAAGUCACAUGCAGGGAGGUGUGACUAGGGUUCAUAAACAAAGGGAUUUAACUCCUAAAUGGCAGAGGAUUGAGCAGUGAGGCUGCAGGGGCAUGUUCUGUACACCAAAACUGCUUCAUUAAGCUAAAGUUGUUCAGGUGACUAUAGUGUCC